GCCCCUGUAGUCUAAUGGUCAUGACAUCACAUAUAGCGGUGAAGAUCGGCGUUCAAAUCGUCGUAGGGGCG